GAGAGGUGCUGCAUGGCUGUCGUCAGCUCGUGUUGUGAAAUGUUGGGUUAAGUCUCGCAACGAGCGCAACCCCUAUCGUCUGUUGCCAGCAUUAAGUUGGGCACUCUGACGAGACUGCCUGGGUUAACCAGGAGGAAGAUGAAGAUAACGUCAAGUCCUCAUGGCCCUUAUGUCUAGGGCUACACACGUAAUACAAUGGCGCGUACAAAGGGAAGCGAACUCGCAAGGGGGAGCAAAUCUCAAAAAGCGCGUCUCAGUCCGGAUUGGAGUCUGCAACUCGACUCCAUGAAGUUGGAAUCGCUAGUA
rnacentral:rRNA from 1 species